GAGAAAUUCACAAAAUUUCAAAGAAUCAAGUGACAAAAGGUGGUGAAUCCUCCGGUAAAGGCAAAGAAGUUGUACCCGAAGUCCGAGACUAGGAGUACUUCAACUCCCGAUACUGCUCAGGAUAGUUUGUAGAUAGCUGAUAUCGUCGAAGGCUA
rnacentral:sRNA from 1 species